CUAAGAAGUAGUAUAAUGGGAGUACGCGAGGUUUUGAGUCUUGUAGUCCGGGUUCGUGUCCCGGUUUCUUUGG
rnacentral:tRNA from 1 species